CAUCACCGUGUUGUUGUGUUUUGUCGAGUGAAAACUGCGAUUGUAGCUGCUGUCCAGGAAGUAGGGCGCUGUGCGCUGGUUCUCUUGCCCAUAUAUGGAAGAGGCGGUGACAGAGCACACCUGGUGGGGGUGAGACAGAGGCAGCGCAUUUCUAGAGCGACGUCCGGAGCACCGUGGAUCGGUUUUACUGCAGAGAAGGUUCUGGUCCUGCUGGGCUCCAAGUCUGAGCUUCUGCUGCAGCCACAGCAUCUUCUCCAUCCGCAUCCUGAGAGUGGAGGACGGCGAGCCGCCACCAGUCCACGCCGUCAGCGCGCUCUGAGCGCAGCUCCAGGACCCAGAACAAAGGAGAGGACCUGAAGGAGGCUGGAAACAUCAACGCCUCGCUGCUCAUUCUGGGCAAAUGCAUCAAGGCUCUGCAGCACAACCAGCACACCAGGUGGAGGUUGUGAUCUCCAGGCUCCUCCCCGUCGUUCCUCCUGCUUCCUGCAGCAGGAAGACGCUGCAGAGCAGCAGCAGCUCCCUGACCGGCUGGGAAGCCAGUCUGGAAGACCUUCAGGGUGAAGACCAAGACUCCAGUCUGAUGGAGGACAGCAUGGAGGAGACGGCUGACAAGGUGAAGAAGUCGUCAUUAAUAAGAGGCUUCACCAGGUCAGUGGUUUUAGCUGCUCCACAUUUCUCCUGACAUGAAUCCACCUGCUGGGUUUCCUGCUGGAGGCGGCGCCACGUUUACCUUCAUUCUGACGUCAGAACCGCAGCUUCGUCCCUCCUCCUCUUCAUCAGCUGCUGCUGCAGAUUUCUGCAGGAAACCAAGCAGCUUGUGGUCAAGUCUGCAUGUCCAGGUCCCAGCCUCUGAUAUCGUAUUUACUUAGUUAUAAUGAUAAUGAUGAGAAUAAUAAUAAUAAUAAUAAUAAUAAUGAGAACAAAUCGUAUUUAAAACUCCAUCCCAGUUUUCUCUGGCGAUGGAUUAAAGCUCCAAACGCAGCUUUGAUGUUUGAUUCUGUUGCUGCUCGGUUGGAGAAAACAGGAAGAACGAUCGUUUUAGUUUAAAAUCAAGUUUGACUGUCAAAAUAAUUUCUUGUUUAAAGGAAG